UUUUGGUACAUCUGGAAGAACAGUAUUACUCAACUCCAAAUAUUUCCAAAUAAGAACUGACGCUUCCGGUGGCAGCAUCAUAAAAGGGCUGAAGAACACAAGCUCCGAGUUUAGAUUUGCUGACUGUACAGACCCAGCAAGAGUAGAGCGAGAUGGCUGCUGUGUUGGUGUUGCUCAUGGCAGUGCUGGUUUCGGGAGACGUAACCUGUCCCGACGGAGGAAACUGCACAGAUGGUGAAACCUGCUGUAAACAAGAAAGUGGGUACAGCUGUUGUGCGUAUCCCAAUGCUGUCUGUUGUCCAGGAGAGACCCAUUGCUGUCCAGAAGGGUUCCGCUGUAAUGCACAGAAUGACUCGUGCGAAAGGGUGGCUCCGGCAGAUGGAGCUGAGCUCCAGACCAGUAAGGCAGUCUUUUCUCCUGGUCAGUACUGUCCCGAUGGUACAUUCUGCUCUGCUGGUAUGGAGUGUUGCCAGAUUGGUGUACCAUGGACUUGCUGCUUCAAAACGUUUGCUGCCAUGAGGCCACUGCAGCCUCGCCCUGCCACAGGAGGAGACGUGGUGUCUCACAUGCCCCCCUACUUAUGUCCCAAUGGCAGAGUCUGUAAUUUUGGUUCACAUUGCUGCUUUUCGGAUCAGGGUUGGUCUUGCUGUUUCACGCAUGUACCUGUAGAGGAACAUGAAAAGCCACACUCUGUCAGCUUAUCCGGAGGAUCCCAGAACAUCAGUAUGUACUGUCCUGAUGGUUCUACCUGUCCACCUGGUAAAAAGUGCUGCAUGACGGAAUCUGGAUGGCACUGUUGUAAAAUUCCCGAUCCUCAUCCAUCCAUUCCAGCUGAAUCUCUUAAACCCGCUGUGUCUGUGGUAACCUGUAAUGCUCACAAAAGCUGCCUUAGUGGCCAAACAUGCUGCAGAGGCUUUUUUCGCAAAUGGUCAUGCUGCCCAUUUCCUAAGGGAGAAUGCUGUCGUGGUAGAUCCAGCUGCUGUAAUCAUGGUGCUGGAUGGUCCUGUGGUCCCAAAGGCACCUGCGUCUGGGGCGGACUGAUCACUCCGCGGAAAAGGACCCUACCUGAGCAGUGAUGGACUGACCAGUGAUGGACUGUCCUUGUACAAAUGACAAAAUAAUCAACCUCAUGGCCUCUCCGGACUUCUGUACUGACUUGCACAAGAAAUGAAUGAAAGUGAACAGAGGCCUGCUGCUCUUGGAUCUUCCUGAUAAUCUAUAAUGAUUUGCGAUGGCUUCUGUCUAUAUAAACACACAAAUAAUCUCUUCUGCUGAGUUAUAUCAUAACCAUUAUGUUCCUGCGACUUCAUUUAGUCAGCUGUGAGCAGCGAUGGAGUAACUCUGCUGACAAUUUCAAACACAUGUAUUCAAGGUUUUUUUCAAGAAAUUCACACUGCCAAUACUUUUCUCUGCGUCUUUAAAAGCUGUAUCAAAAAAUCUGCUGUAUACAAACUUACAUAACUGUGUACAUUUCCAGUAUUUUCUCAGAUCCUAUAAAACCAUUUUAAAGGGGAAUGUGAAGUGCAUUGUAAAGAAACAUCCUGUGCAAAUAUAGAAAAACGUGCUCAGACUUCCAAAGCGUUUACUGACUCAUUAAAAGCUAUUACGCAAA